CGUAUCAAAAGAUCUGAAAGCAAGGAUGAAAAAGCGGGUCAGAGAGAUAACAAAACGAAAUCGAGGAAGAGGGUUAAAGGCAAUCAAAUAAUUAACUCAAUAUAUUAGAGGACGGAAGUCGCCUCCUACUCGAUUAUUUUUUAAUAGCGCUAUUAAGCACGCUGAUUUAGACAAGAUGAACGUUCUUAUACUUUCUUUUAUUGAUGUAUAUCUUGAUUCUCUUCAUAAAUAAAUA
rnacentral:misc_RNA from 1 species